GACGAACGAGGGAGGCGGGAGGAACACAUGCAAGUCGUACGGUAAGGCCCUUUCGGGGGUACACGAGUGGCGAACGGGGGAGUAACACGUGAGUAACCUGCCCACAACUUUGGGAUAACGCUAGGAAACUGGUGCUAAUCCUGGAUAUGGUCUCCUGCUGCAUGGGGGGGGUUGGAAAGCUCCGGCGGUUGUGGAUGGACUCGCGGCCUAUCAGCUUGUUGGUGGGGUAGUGGCCUACCAAGGCGGCGACGGGUAGCCGGCCUGAGAGGGUGACCGGCCACAUUGGGACUGAGAUACGGCCCCGACUCCUACGGGAGGCAGCUGUGGGGAAUCUUGAACAAUGGGCGCCAGCCUGAUGCAGAAACGCCGCGUGCGGGAUGACGGCCUUCGGGUUGUAAACCGCUUUCAGCAGGGACGAAGCUUUUUGUGACGGUACCUGCAGAAGAAGCCACGGCUAACUACGUG
rnacentral:rRNA from 1 species